GAAAAGAAAGUUUGCUUUAAUAAGUUUUGUAAAAAAAAAUAAAAAAAUUUUAAUUGAUUUAUUAAUUAGACAGAAUUGCAUUCAUCCCAAGGCAUAUUAUUGCAAAAGAAAAGAAAUUCUCCAGAUAAUGUUCUCAGAUUUUGUUUAGAUAUAGUUCGGUUUUUCGUUUAUCUGAAGUUUUAAAUCUAUAUAAAUCUAAAAAUGAUACGCACGAGACAUAACGCACGCAAUAAAUUUACCUUUAAGUCACUGAACACUGUUAUGAUAAACAUUUGAACAGAGGUGGGAGUAAGUCACACAUGUGCAAGUCACAAGUAAGCCUCAAGUCAUGAAUGUGAAGUCAAUGUCAAGUCGAGUCUUUUUUUAAUAUUCGUCAAGCAAGUCUCAGGUCUCAAAUUUGCGACUUAAGACUGACUCAAGUCAAGUCAUAUGACUCGAGUCCCCCAUCUCUGCAUUUGAAUACUAAUUAACUUGUGUAUGUGAAAAAAAAAAGCAUUUAAAUCCAUGUCAUGGCAGCUGAGACGAUGCAGACAAGGACUGAGCUGCUUCAUAAAGCUGCUUCUGCCUCGCCCUGACGGCCUACAAUCCUGUCCUGACACAGAACAGAGCUGAGUGCAGACACGACCUGAAGGCUUUUACUGUCUCUGUUCCUGAACCAGAACAUCAGGAUCUUCCUGCACAUACAGUAUAGUGAAGAGAGCCCUGGCAUGAAGCUUUUGGAGGAGCUUAUGGCAAAGCUGGAGUUUGAGAACGAGUUAAACCGAGUGUGUAACAGUUUCUCUGUGAACGGGAACACACCGCCGGGACAUGAGGAGACAGCGCAGGAAGUGAAGACAGUGGUGUGGAUGAAGGAGCUUCCGACGGAGAAGAUGAGAAGGACAUGAGUCUCAUGGACACAGUUCUGGACAUGGAGCAGGACUACGAGCUUUUACCUUUAAUAUGACCUAAUAUUCAUUGAGGGAAGAUGCUUAUAUUUAUUUAUUUAUUUAUUUAUUUAUUUAUUUAUUUAUUUAUUUAUUCAAUGCACUAUAAAUCUAGAUAAAUCUGUUUUUGAGAAUUUUCUCUGAGUUGUGACCUACUCCAUUAAUAGGUUGGCUGAUCAAAGAUGGGAAUAAUCUGAUGUUGAAACUUAUAUUGAUAUAUUAUACCUCCAAAAGGUUUUUUUGCCUUCGGAGGAUACACGAGAGUCUUACAACCUUAUACCGACUGCAAUAAAUACUUAAUCUUUAAUCUUCUAAGAUCAGGCUUUUUCCUGGCUACUGUGCCCCCCUGU